GGUCCGUGUUUGCGAUCUGAACCUUUGGUACCUACAAGGAGGGUGUCUCACGGAACGUAGCUAAAACCUCACCAGAACCGCGCGGAAGUGAGGAGUCCCGGCCAAAGGCGCUCGCUGGAGCCUUCUUUCUGGGCCGGACCCCAACCCAAGCGGCCGAACGGAGCCCCCCGCCCGGAUCGCAGAAAAAAAGCAGAAAGAAUAGGGUGGGGGUGUAGAAGUAGAAAAAGGCGAGACUCGGCGCAUUCCAGCCCCUCUUCUUUUAGCUGCUGCAGCCGGAAGGCGCGCUUGAUGCCGGCAGAAGCGAAGGAGGCGUCCGCACAGCCUAGAGCAACCCUCCGCGGAGCCAGCCGCCUCCUGCUCCAGCGGGCGGGUGUCUACCUGCAGCCUCUGCCCUAGCCCUAGCGCCUACCCCAGCUCCUUGGAACCCUCUGUCCAGUGCAGACGAAUCCCAGGGCCUCCGUCAGCCCCGAGCAUUAAGCGCCUUUCGGGCAACUUGAGAA